AUGUCUGUUUCAACCUCCGCAGAUGUAGCAGGUCAUUCUACUUGUGGUCAUUGGGAUCUAUCACAUCUACUCCUUCAACUUUCAGCCUACACUAUGGAUCAGAAGCUCCUCCAUUUGACCCAGCUGAGUGGUCAUCUAUCCUGUCUUAGUCAGAAAGGACUGAUCUGGAUCUUGUCUUCAGUCAUCUGCUACCUGCCCUCUGUGUGUUCGUUCCUGCAUCUGCAAGAUAGACAUUCAGUUACUGUUCAGCUAAGUCAUAGCAAGCUCCAUUGAGCUGCCAUACCUAAUGUUGCUUCAUUCUCAUUUCUGUUCGGUGUCAGCAGUUCAAUAAACCGGUUUAUUUCAUUAGCUGUCUGUUGUUGUCUUUUUUGACAGCGAGGCCGACACGCUAUCAGUUUAAAUGUAGAUUAAAGAC
rnacentral:lncRNA from 1 species